rnacentral:lncRNA from 1 species
AUAUCAUAUAUUUCUUGGCGUUGUUCAUGGCAUUGUGCGGAUGGCGUGCACAACUGCGGGGGCUGUAUGCAUCUGUUAGCAUGCCAUGCCCGGGCUGGCGGGAGGUCGAUUGGUUGAUUCUCGUUUGCCACUGGAAUGGAAUGUUUUCUUUUCUCUGCUUCAAUGGCUUCUGCGGUGUUGAGAGCGGGAUUUUCUCUUAUCGGUUUGGCAGUCUUGGCUUGCGUCCGGUUUGUGACUGUGUUCUGUUCAUGGCUUUUCCUUGCAAGGGCUGUGCUGGGUCUGCCUUGUGUUCCUCUGGCCUCUUCAGAUU